rnacentral:rRNA from 1 species
UUGGGAACAUGCCUUGAGGUGGGGGACAACAGUUGGAAACGACUGCUAAUACCGCAUAAUGUCUACGGACCAAAGGGGGCUUCGGCUCUCGCCUUUAGAUUGGCCCAAGUGGGAUUAGCUAGUUGGUGAGGUAAUGGCUCACCAAGGCGACGAUCCCUAGCUGGUUUGAGAGGAUGAUCAGCCACACUGGGACUGAGACACGGCCCAGACUCCUACGGGAGGCAGCAGUGGGGAAUAUUGCACAAUGGGCGCAAGCCUGAUGCAGCCAUGCCGCGUGUGUGAAGAAGGCCUUCGGGUUGUAAAGCACUUUCAGUCAGGAGGAAAGGGUGGUGGUUAAUACCCGUCAUGUGUGACGUUACUGACAGAAGAAGCACCGGCUAACUCCGUGCCAGCAGCCGCGGUAAUACGGAGGGUGCGAGCGUUAAUCGGAAUUACUGGGCGUAAAGCGUACGCAGGCGGUUUGUUAAGCGAGAUGUGAAAGCCCCGGGCUCAACCUGGGAACUGCAUUUCG